AGCAAUAGGCUUGUUGAGUCAGUCCUUCUCUAGCUCUUAUUGGUGCAUUUUAUCUUAUAACUGUCCCCUGAAGCUGUCUUUAUUCAUUUCGUCUCAUUGAUUUAUAAGAACGUCUGACUUGGAAGCUUGCCCUCUGAAGAAUUUCCAACACCUCCCCGCACAACGUUGAGUACUAAAUUUAUGUAUACAUGUUCUCCAUUUCAUCACCCAAGCAGUCAAGGAAUAAACGCAGCAACGCCGAGCUCGCAACAGACCCCCGUGGGAUCCUACCUGGCACGUCCUCACUGUUUGAUAUAUUUUGGUCAGUCCCUUGACUGUACAGACAACAGGUCCACAGCCACCGGUGCCUGUACAACCGCGGGGAUGGACCACGCGGCCGAGGCGCAGGAGCUCGCAGGGGUUGUCCUGCCACCGACACAGCCACAGCUUUGCCUGUGCCUCUCUGAGAACUCCUUAAAAACCUGAAGUUUGGGGAAGCUCGUCGAUGAAAAAACUGCUUUAAAAUGUUACUUUUUAUUUAUCUUAUGCUUUGGUUGUAGAUGUUAUCUACAUCUGCCAGGAAAAUUUUUGGACAUCUCCCUGUAAAGUGAUGGACUUAUGCCUGUCCCUUAACUUGUUCUAAUAGCAGGAAACACAAUACCGAGGUUUCGCUUUGUUCUGCCUUUUUUUUUUUUUAAACGAAUACAUGUCUGAUAGCAGAAACUCGAUUAUACUACAAACACAGAAUCUUCUAGUUUUCAGAAGAUGAUGGCAAGGACAAAAUAACACCUCUUCCUCCAAAAUUAGCCACACGCUGUAACUGAACUCUUCAAAAUAGCAUUGAAAUGGAAUUUUACAGUAUGUUUCCCAUAUUUUUCAUGUAAGAAUAAUCAAUAUGCACGAAAAGGCCUACAACAUGCCUGCAAAGCAAUGGUCAAAAAGAUAGCAAGAAAUAAUGUUAACCAUGCUCUACUAAGGGAACAAGGGAAGCAAUAUUAAGCAACAAGAGAGGAACGAGGUCAGAGGAAUCUGCUAAAGCAGCUCACCUCUGCCGGACGCUCCCUCUUGCCCUAUUUUUCACUUGCGAUGUUUGAAAAUUUUGGCCUGGGUGCUUAGUCACGCCUGCGAGAUACCUGGAGCUGGAACGAAUAUCUGCAACUCAGGAAGAGCGGGGUUUAAAAGGUCAGUUGGCUUCCACCCAGCACAGGCAGAGAAGAGACAAACAUUGACUGAUUGGGGAAAAUAGCCCAAGAACAACCUCUGCUUUCAGGUUAUGUAAAAAAUGUGCAACCCUUUCCAUGACGGAUUAUUCCUCUAAGCCAUCUAGGUUUUGACAUCUGAGGUGGUGCUUCUCAAAUUUUAUGCAAGUUACAUUUGGCUCAGUAGCUUUAUAAGCAACUUAAUAAAUUAUUAAGGUAUUUAAAUGGUGCUUUUCAUGUCUUAAAUUAAUUUCUAUUCAAAAAAUCUAAAAGGAAAUCCAAGUAAAAUAGACAAUCUAUUUUAAAACGAUGAAUUUUAAAGCAAGAAAUCCCUCAAAAUUUCUAGUAUGAUGGCUCACAACUUUGCAAAUCUUUACAAAAUUGCACAGAUUUGCUCUGAGUAUUGAAUAAGGAAAGGCUCCUGUAUUCGAAAGAACUGCCCAGACAUAAUCUUGAGGGAUCUCUUGUUUUCUGUCCCAUUACCUCCCCUCAUGAUUUAUUUAAAUAGAUGUUAAGGUCAAAAGGGAUAAUUACCACCACUCGUCUGACUUGCUGCAUAAUACAUGCUAUGAAAUUUAGCACAGUAAUUCCUGAAUCGGAGCCGGACUGACCCGACCUAGAGCACAGCGUUCAGAGAGAGACACAAGCUGUCCUGCAGAUUUAAGGUUUUGGGGAAGCCACCACAUUCCUUGGUAACUACAAACAACCUUUUAACUUCUCGUGCUGCCCUCUAUCUCCAGCUAUCAUAUGCAGGAACGACGACGAGACAAACAUCUAAGAUAAAAGCCACGCAGGGUAAUUACCCGGGGAAGGGUGACACAAGCCAACCUCAGCAGCACGCAGAUCAUUAAAGCAGAGAACACAGGGACAAACCACCAUCUCGUAACACCUCGGUGUGAAGCUGGUACAGGACAGGGGGGAACGACGGACCCAGCAAGGGCUGGGGAGAGUGGCUACAGACGUACAGCAGUGACAAAAGCUGUUUGUAUAUGUAUGCUGCUAUUAGCAUCCUUAAAAGAAAACCAAAAUUUUAAAGGGUUGAGGGAAGAUGGGAUUCAGUAAGACUAUUCUAAGUGAAAUAAGUCUGUCUAAAGAGUGCUUUGAAUGAGGAGAGCAAAUGUGUCUGAUCCACACAUCAGGAAAAUUGUACCAGACGUGGAAUGGCAAAAAGGGAAGACUCGAAUGAAAAUAGAAGUGUCAGCAUGAACACUGAGAUGAAAUGGGCUGACACGUCUCAGAGCAGACCACCAUCAGGAAGCUAGAAAAAAAAGUAUAAGCAAAACGGAGUGGAAAAGAACUGAAGGAGAGCUGGAGGAUUUGAAUGUGAUGAGAGAGGUGACGGAGGGCAAACCCGAGCGCCUGGUUAGAGUGCAACGCUCGGGAUCUGCUCUGCCUGCAAGCCUUCCCUCUCUUCCCGGCGCAGCGCUUCCAUGCCCGCUGCUCUGCUGGCCCUCCCAGCGCCGUGACAGCAAGACUGCAAUAGCGUUAUCAGCGAUCCAUCGUUAGCUGGAGGGAGGAAGAACGGGAACGAACAAGAGGUAUCACUUCGACGGCAGCACGCACGAUAGGCUGCAGAAACACUGCUUGAGAAGGGAGGAAGCUACAGAAAAGGUUAAAGUAGCUGAUGUGCGAAGUGGUAUAAAGGCAGAUCAACGCUUCCACAACAGGAACAGGUUAGAAGACACCAUUAAAGCAGCGUCAGGAUUGAGAAGCUACCUUGCCCUAAGGCCUGACGUCUCAGUACCACGAGACACUUACUGCCAGCCAGAACGAGACCUCAGAGCGUGGCGUCCGAAACCCCUUUGGAGUGCUGCAUCACCCCACUCGUCUGCAUCCAACAGCAAGAGAGGGAAAACCUUUCACAUCUGGAGUCCAAAACCAAGAUCUCCUUAGAUUUUAUUCACAUGCUUUCCUCUUGAUCUUGAAUCUUAAAUUAUACUCACUUAAGAGUACUGAAAAAGCCUCCCUGUCUGUCCCCCUUGCUGAUGCCUUCUGACCAUUUGGGCCUCAUCAAACCCCUCUCUCUCACCUAUUGCAUCCUCCUCAUAACCCACAUCCCACAGAUUCACAAUUGCUCCUGCAGAAUUUUAAACCACAGGUUAAAAAUAAAUACUGACAGGCAUCUAGAUAUUAGUUAAAGUGGUAAAAACAAGUAUUUAAACACAGAGGAUUUUUUGUUUGAAAUUGUUAGACUUUAUGAUCAUUACGCUGACUCUUGUCCUCUUCCUUCCUUCCUCUUUGCUGUUCCCUUCUCUUGCAUCUUGUCGUAAAGUACCGUCAAAUCUCCCUUGUGCAAGGUUACACGUGGACUAGGAUCUCCCUUAUCUCUAUAGAUAAAAAGAUAUUUUUAUCUCUUUCCUAGAAAAAGUCUAUUUUGGUAUUAUGUACGUGUAUAUAUAAGGCAUUGUGGGAUGCAUUAAGGAGCAUGGUCAAAAACAUGCCUAACCACCCAAGCUAAUCUAUAAAAGCAAACCAGAUAGUGACAGCUGCCACAGUCUGCCCAUGCUCAUGCUAUUGAAACUCUCUUUAAAACAGAGUGGCCACGUGCAGCUUGCCUACCGGGAAGGAUUUCUGCACCGUACCUCUGCACGGUGUUGUGCACGACCUUCUCGGGGCCUUCGGAAGCUGGGAGGGCGGUGGAGCAGCACCCAAGGGUCAAACGCGGCAGAGGGUGACGAGCCAGCGAGCCUGGUGGGUCCCAGCUGGACUCCACCUGCUCACGUGCUGCAGCAUCCCAACUUUAACCGAAUGCUUAGAUUUUCUCUGUUUCAGAUCUGACUCUGCUGUGAGGUGGCUACACGGCUUCCAGAGCUAGCAAACGCUUCUGCCCCACAUCUGGCUCUGUUCAGAGCAGAGGCAGUAACUCAGAAUCCACGGCAUCUGUAUUAGUUAAUCUGUAACGUGGAUAGAAAUCACAUAGCAUUUAGUGCUGGCCAGAGACUGUACAUUUUCUGUGGCUGAAACUAUGGGCCUAGGGUCUAUGGCUAACAUGCAUCUAGGUUCUCUAAAUGUCACAAAGCUCUAAGAAACACAACGUAAGAAAAUGAAUGUACCACACCUGUGUCACAGAAAAUUGGUAGAAUUGACAAUAACAGUAGUUUCAGUCACUUUCAGGUGGAACUGGUGACUGGACAGCUAGAAGGAAAGGUCAGAGAGAUAAAUGUGGACACGGGAACAAAGGAGUAAAAAGGCACGCUUGGAAAUUGUCAGAAGAUAAAUUAAGCUAGCCAGCAAAUAAAAGUUAUUCUUGGUUAGACAGCUAAAAACCCAAGGGACAGCAUCAAUGACACAGAUAGGAAAUAUAUCGCUGCAGAGCUGGUGGUGGAGGAAGGUUUCCGGAGGCCUGAUCAAACAGCUGGAAAGCACCUCGUCACGCACAUCUGCAAACCCGCAGAAGGACAGGAGUCAAGGGGACAAUCAGCGGUGCUGGAGGCAGCAAAGUUAAAUAAGGACAAACAAAAAUAAAGGCAGGAAGAGUAGGAGAGACUACCAAGAGCAGAUAAUCAGUGACUUUAGGAACUCUAUGAAUUGCAGAAGGGAGCAGAAGACUGAAAAAGACCCAAAUUAGUGUUAGUAGAAAGAAAACCUCUUAGGAAAAGAGAGGUUUUUUGAAUGUUGUACAGGCAGACGACAUCAUACCCCUUCCAACUUUAGUGCUGAAGUUGCAAAUAAUUUUCUUUUUAAACUGUAAAAACACAAUUAAUCUGACCAAAUGCAGGUGCUUAUAGUCUCCAGGCUCCUUGGCUGUACAAAUCAGGAAAAUGAAUACAAUAUUUUGUUGUGUUAUAGGUAGCAAAUAUAGUGACUCCUUUUAUAGGCUAGGUUAAAGGACUUCUAUUUUAAAUGCCCUUUUCAGUUUAAGGGAGAAACUUUUGCCUCCCUGAACAGGCAUUACUGUAGGUUUCUUAAUAUGAGUUAGUUGUCUGCACUCCCAUAAUGGUCAAUGGGAAAGAAGCAGGCGCUGUUAGAGUGUUCUUCUCAUCUAAAAUCAGACAUACACAUCAGAUCUGUUGUAUCACACUCCAGAAGUGUUUAUUUGGCCCCACGAACUAUGUAGGGAGCCUGCUGUGACUUGCUCAGGAGGAAAUGCCUCCACUGUAGACAACUAAGCAGUCGAGAUGAUUCCCACUCUUACAUAUCAACAGAGUCUACCAUGGCAAUGUAGUUGCAUAAAAACCUUUCAGGAAUCAAUAGAGAAUGUUCCUUCCCUCCUCUCACAGACUAUAUAUAUUCACAAGAGUAAAAUACAAUGCAUUUAAUUUCAAGCUUAGAUCUGCAAUGUAAAAGGUGACGCAUAGCCUACAGACUGACCAUGGCUGCUGAGAAAACAAAUGCUGUAUGUAAAUGGUGUUUAAAGAGAAUCAUAAAUGUCAUUAACGUAGCUGAGGACUUGUGGUCUUUAGGAACAGAAUUACCAGAAAAAGGAUAAUGCACAUUGCUCACAACAGAAAGAAAAAAAAUCUAUUCCUGAAGUCAUUUUUAAAUAAAUUAGCUAAAACAAAUAAUAUAUUUAACAGGUUUGACCUAGUCCUACAGAAGAGAUAUAAUCAUCUCCAUUUAUUUAGAAAGGCUUCUUGGCUGUAGAAAUCAGAGAAAUUCUGUGUUUUGUUGUAUCAUAGAUAGCAAACAUAAGGACAGUAUAGGCAGGGUUUUAUGAAAAUUUGCCCUUUCUGAAUGUCUCAAUAAACGUAAGGAACAUUUGCCUCCCACAUCUGAUACAACUCUAUCAAAUGCAAACAUCCCUAUUAAAUCAAUGGGCUUUUCUUCAUCUGAAAACUUACAUUUCCAAAGAUAUAAAAAUAUCAGAAUUGAAGCAUUAAGUACUGGGACGUAAAACAAUUCCGAAGCGAAGGCUGACGGUAGCUAUGCUUCGGUUGUCAAAACUUCCUGCUUCCUAGAGAAACUUCCCCGGCCUCAUUCUGCCUACGGCACUUUGCGGACUGCAGCGAGCUCCCUGCCUCUUGCAAAACACAGUUACAGAAAUCCUGGCGUCUGAAGCGUUCACUGCCACUCUGGAUACUUUCCUGCUGAAUGAAGAGGAUGAGGAGAUCGGAAACGAUGAAGGCUCCUCUGAGACUGACUGUGCACCGACUGAAUAGCAGCAUUUGGUGAUGGCGUUUUUGUUGUGUUUGUUUUUCAGUUAUUAGUUUUUACAAGAAGUGAGCUCAGGCAUUAGAAAGCCUGUCAUCCAGCUCAGUCUUAUCCCCAACAAAACAGCUGUCAAACAGAGGUUAUUUUCCUAUUUUUAGCAGAAGGAAGUAACAAAUGAGAAGUUUCCUUUCCUGCUCCGCCGCAGAACGGCAGUGUUCGCUGCGCUUUGGAGGAGUUCAAAGGCUUUGGGCAAGCUCCGCAGCACAGCUACCCUCCUCCCUCUCUUCUGGCAUCACUUUGCAAAGAAACGGAUGCGACCAUCACAAGGAUGUGGCAUAACAACGGAUAAAACACUAAAACAUAUUGCCUUUCUUUGCUAAUGAGACCUUAGACUGAGGAUGCAACAGCGAUUGCCCACUCCACCCCCAGCAGCCAGAUCAGCAUCUCCUUCCACGGGGCGAGAGCUGUGGGGUUCAAGGCAGAAGAGCCACUCCGACAGCAAGAGGGGCAGGUUCAGCCUCUCCCACCAGCGACCACAGCCCGGCUGCAAACAGACUGGCUUUGCUUUCCUUGCAUCGCUGUGAGAGCGAGCUUGUCAAUACGGACUUCCACCGAGAGACUAUGUCAGUUCUAUCUACAGGAAGCCCCAUAAACAGCAACUUUCUAAUCAUACGUGAAUGUUAUUAAAAAAUGCAGAAGCAGUUUUAUUUUUCUAAUAAAAUCUUGCAUAGGUAUUCAUUUAUUAUUCUUUCCAACUUUGCCCUCAAAUAAAUUGAUCCAGAUUUGUCCCAUCUUUGGGGGAAAGAAAGCAAAAAAACCUCCACUUGACUAAGUCUGCUGUUGACAAGCUGGAAUACAUUAGCUAGAAGGAGGAAAGCUUGAUGAAGGUAUAAACAGUUAUAAAAUGCUCUUCAGAAGGGAAACAUUUAGAUAAGCUACCACCAUUUGUUCCUAUUAUAACAUUACUAUUAUAGAAGUCAGAUAUAUUUCUAAUAAAUGCAAUUGUGAUUUGUUGA